rnacentral:rRNA from 1 species
GAUUCUGGGCGUAAGCGCACGCAGGCGGUCUGUCAAGUCGGAUGUGAAAUCCCCGGGCUCAACCUGGGAACUGCAUUCGAAACUGGCAGGCUAGAGUCUUGUAGAGGGGGGUAGAAUUCCAGGUGUAGCGGUGAAAUGCGUAGAGAUCUGGAGGAAUACCGGUGGCGAAGGCGGCCCCCUGGACAAAGACUGACGCUCAGGUGCGAAAGCGUGGGGAGCAAACAGGAUUAGAUACCCUGGUAGUCCACGCCGUAAACGAUGUCGACUUGGAGGUUGUGCCCUUGAGGCGUGGCUUCCGGAGCUAACGCGUUAAGUCGACCGCCUGGGGAGUACGGCCGCAAGGUUAAAACUCAAAUGAAUUGACGGGGGCCCGCACAAGCGGUGGAGCAUGUGGUUUAAUUCGAUGCAACGCGAAGAACCUUACCUACUCUUGACAUCCAGAGAACUUUCCAGAGAUGGAUUGGUGCCUUCGGGAACUCUGAGACAGGUGCUGCAUGGCUGUCGUCAGCUCGUGUUG